rnacentral:rRNA from 1 species
UACGUAGGGUGCAAGCGUUUGUCCGGAGUUACUGGGCGUAAAGGGUGCGUAGGCGGUUGUUUAAGUUUGGUGUGAAAUCUCCCGGCUCAACUGGGAGGGUGCGCCGAAUACUGAAUGACUAGAGUGCGGGAGAGGAGAGUGGAAUUCCUGGUGUAGCGGUGAAAUGCGUAGAUAUCAGGAGGAACACCGGUGGUGUAGACGGCUCUCUGGACCGUAACUGACGCUGAGGCACGAAAGCGUGGGUAGCAAACAGG